GAGCAACAUUUAAAUGUGUAGCAGCUAUAUAAUUUCAGUCAUAAAGAGAACACUGAUCCAAAUACAGUGGUGGCACUACUUCAAUUCAAAAUAUUACACAUUCUUAAUCCAUCUUAGUCGGUACAUAAUACUUAAACAACAGUAAUUGGAAUUACUACAUGAAGAAAAUGAGAGCUAAAACGAGAUAGUGCUACACAUACAAAAGUUAUGUCAAAAGCCAAAAGCAAAUUUUUAGCUAAUAAUCAAGUCGAUCGCUUCCCUUUUUCAUUCGCUUCCGCACUAGAAUUCGCCUUGCAUAUUCGCACAUUCACCGAAAUAUGUAGGUCUUCAUCAUUGUUUAGGUGAACUCAAGAUUCAAACAUUUUGGACAUUUCUUCAUCAUUUUCGUUCAUCGCAAGGUUAACUAAUGAAGAAUUGUCGCUAGACGAUUCACCAAGUGAUUUUUCUUUCACAACCCAUUCUCAAAAUCCGCAUUUCUCACUGCAACAGAGAAAUAAUCUCCCUUAUUUGCUGUCUGCUUCUCCACCAUGAAACACUUCUCAAAUCCAUUCUUGCAUUCCCGGCAUCUGCACUUCCUUGGGCAUUCAUCAAAGAAAUGGCCCUUAGCUCUACAACUAUGACAUAUUCCUCUAUUCUUUCCGCCCAUUCUGCCAUACAAAUAAACCACAGUUAACAGAAAUAAAUUCACGGUUACUAUAACCAUUACAGAAACCACUUCAAUGUUGAAGAACAUUGAUUAUUUCAUCUCAAAUUUCACAGUGAUCGUGCAAUAACCAGGCUGUGAUUGGUGACAAUUGCUAACAAGAAGUUGGAAUGCAACAUACAGAGUUUUCUUCAUCAGUAAUGUACCAUGUUAGACCCCCCUUCAAUUUAGCAGCACUACACUAUGAAAAACCAUGGAGGUGAACACUAGAAAAUAACAACACAAACAGCAGCUUCAUAGUGACACAGGAAAAAGUGAUAACGAUGCAUAAUGACAAUUGCUAACAACAAGUUGGAAUGCAACAUACAGAGUUUUCUUCAUCAGUACUUUACCAUGUUCAACCCCCCUUCAAUUUCGCAGCACUAUAUUAUGAACAACCAUGGAGGUGAACACUAGAAAAUAACAACACAAACAGCAGCUUCAUGGUGACACAGGAAAAUAGUGAUAACGAUGCAUAAUGACAUUGCACAACGGGAUUAAAAAGAAUAAAAAUUUCAUACAAACACACCAACAGUUCAUCAACAAUAAAAUAUGUGCAAAAUCGGGAGAUGAAGAUUGCAAUAUCCCGAAGUUCAACUACGCAAUGCCAUAUGACAAACAAAAGCGUCGUCGGUCGACAACGGUGAAUCCAGAGCUGGUGGAAAUGGAUGGAAACGACAACAAACCCGUAGCUGAAAAUGAAAAGGCGAUGGCCAAACCCUAGGAUCGAAAUGCAGUCGGAGCGCCGACUGUGAGGUCAUCCGAAGUGUGGCCGGAGAUGGUGAAGUUCGGGUUCCAACUUUGGGAAUUUGAGUUGGGGGCUUGGGGUUCGUUUUGGGGGAAAAUGGCUAUCGGGAUUGCAGUCAACUCUUUCUUUGGACAGGCUUUUU
rnacentral:lncRNA from 1 species